GAGCAGGAGCACGAAGGCGCAGCGGACGGGGCCCAGGCCGGCGGCGGACAUGGUCGCAGGAUGAAGGGACAGACAGAGCCUGACUCCCUGCUAUGAAAAAGUGUUCCAGUAUCACCAGAUUGGAAAAACCAACCCAAGAGAACUUAAAACAUACUUGAUCUAGAAACUGAGCAGAAAGGGCACGAGUUACUCUAACCCGGUCACCCAGCCACUCGCAGAACUGAAACCAGAGUCUAGAUGUACACACGGCUACUACACUGCACGUGCUGAAAAGACAACCUCGACUUUGAAACAGUUGAAUUUAAUGCAGUACUGACGCGUGUAGACAUGGCG